GAUGAAGAACGUAGCGAAAUGCGAUACGUAAUGUGAAUUGCAGAAUUCAGUGAAUCAUCGAAUCUUUGAACGCAUAUUGCGCUCUUUGGUAUUCCGAAGAGCAUGCUUGUUUGAGUAUCAGUAAACACCUCAACCUCUUCUUGAUUUUUCAAAAGGAGGGUGGACUUGAGCUAUCCCAACAACCUUUACCGGUCGGCGGGCGGCUUGAAAUGCAGGUGCAGCUGGACUUUUAUCUGAGCUAAAAGCAUAUCUAUUUAGUCCUCGUCAAACAGGAUUAUUACUUUUGCUGCAGCUAACAUAAAGGAUAAUUGUCCUCUUUGCUGACUGAUGCAGGAUUUUACGACACUUUAUGUGUUGUUCAACUCGAUCUCAAAUCAAGUAAGACUACCCGCUGAACUUAAGCAUAUCAUAAGCGGAGGA
rnacentral:misc_RNA from 1 species